CCCUUUGGUGACCACUCUCGGAUUCACUACAACAACAACAAAAAUACAAUAACAACAAGAUAUUAAGGUGUUCAACACCUCUAAAAUCAGUGAGCCAACAAAUUAGAUUAAAACUACAAGCACAAGAACAAGAACACAAAGUCUCGGUUUUAGGACACCAAACCCGAGAAUGAAUAACAACAACAAUGAAAUAGAUAGAUAGAUAGAUAGAUAGAUAGGUAACUUGACAUACAAAUGUACAAACACUAUGAACCUAAGUGUAUAUUAAACACAAAGACACAAGAAUUCAUACAAGUAACACCAAGUUCUACGUUGCCCUCGAGGGAACAAGAUUCCCAAGCAACCAACGUUUCAAAACUAGCACCAACACAAGUGAUAGCCACACUUGUUUACAAGGAAUCCACCUUGCAAGACUCUCUCUCUAGAGCUCUUAAAAUAUCAUUAAAGUUAUGACAAAAUGACCUAACAUGUUCUAUUUAUAGCUAGGUUUCAACUUAAUAUAAAAUGACCAAAAUUCCCUUAAUGAGCCAUGGAAAAAGGGCGGCCUUGGAGUGUGCAUAUUGGAUGGUUUUGGAGUGUUGGGACUUGUUCUCUACACUUCAAAACUUGUUCCAUUGGUUGGACAGCCACCCAAACUCGAGUCUUUAUGUAUUGGUCCAAAAUCACGAUCGUACUUGUAUCAUCCUCCCCUUCUUGAAAAAGGAUUCGACCUUGGAUCCAAACCUUGCAUAAUAAUAGGAAGGACAAGCAAACACAAGUUCCUCAAGGUAUGAAGGUUAGGAUUAGUGUAAUCAAUCAUAGCAUCUUGCCAAGGUGGCUCAAACUUCACAUACACCCAAACAUCCCUCUUACUCGAAUACCCUCCCAAGAAAAAGUCAACUAGUCUAUCCACACAAGUGUGACAAAAAAUAAAGAACAAGAGUUUCUCAUCAAGUGGAAAACAUACUCUUCUUUGAACAACAAAUAGGCUUGAAAGCCGAGAUAGGAAGGCCAUAAAUUCCAUGCACAUUCAAGUCAUUCCAAAAGACAUCCUCAUCACCAUACUUCAAAUAAUCACCGGGAUCAAAUGGGUGGAGUGUCCAUGGACCCGGGUUUCGGAUGCAUUUCCUUUUCCACAUACUGUACUAGUACAAUCAUAUAUCCCCUCUAUACUAGCAUGGUCUACAAUAAAAAUAACUAAAGUGUCAUCCAUAGUCAAUCGGCCAACAUGUUGAACAUCACCAUUUUCACACACAAGUUGGUCUUCAUGACUUCCAUAAGAUAAUAUAUUAUCACUUGCCACAAUGGCCUCAACACUAGAUGGAUAAACUAGUGUAUCCACAAUCUCAAGUUGUACAUUAUCAUCACCAAAUGGAGGCACAUUCGGCUCGCCUAAAGACAAACUACCAUUCACACUUAGUUGGCUACUAGCCUCAUUCACUAGAGUGCAAGAGUUAGUUUAAUUACCUUGUAGCUCAUGUGUAGCAUGUCCACUUACAGGAACUUGAUUAAAAAGACUUGGAUUCUCUAUCAAGUUAUCCAACUCCUUGCAAAGAGAGCUUUCCAUCCCUUCUAUUCUUCCUUCCACUCGGUCCAUUAUUUUUUUUGCAUUCUCUCCAUUCGGCUGCUAAUGUCAUGUUUCAUACCCAUUAUGGCAGCUAUCAAAUCGUUCAUGGUCACCUUUUCCAAUGCCAUAGUUCCUAACAAAAGAAAUUCUAAAACAAAAACACAAAAAACAACAAACUAGUUAAUAUUAGAAAAGAAAACAUCCUCACAAGCUCUUAAGCUCUCACACUUUGAAAUGCCUCUCAAUUGGCCUCACAAGUGUUGGUAACUCGUUUAUACUCCAAGGAGAUUACUUGGUACCAAUUGGGGCUCGAGGUCGGAAUAGAUUCUCUUUUGAACAACUCAAAGAAAAUACGCACAGACUUGAACCAAGAAACUACAACGAAUUUCAAAAAGAUAAAAGCACACAAAGAAACAUAGACACGAAUAAACGGACCCAAAACUAAUUUACAACCUAGUAGAUAAUUACUAGUUUGCUAAUUAGCAGUAGAAUCAACAAAAUGCAACUAAGAAACAAAGAUUAGAAACUAAUAAAUCAAAAAUUUGAGCCUAAAUUUGUCGUGUGAACAGUAAAAUAUGACGUGGAAGCCACGUAUUGGUUGCGGUCUUAACAAAUUUUAUUUUCCAAAAUUGGAAGUCUUGAACAAUUUGUGAUUUGAAAUUGGUGGGAAUUGAUUUAGGAGGGAAACAAGUCUUGAAAUCCUAUUGUCAAAUUCAAAAGUGAAAGACUUGACUUUUGUGUACCAUCCCCCUUUAAACAAGGAAAGUUGUUAGGAAGUGAUUGACUAGUUAAUGGGUGAUGGUAAGUCUUUCAAGGCUAAAAAGCUUUCACCUUUUUCUCUUCAACUUUAUAGAUCUAGUAUUCACUUUAUUUUAACAAGUCUUGAAAGGGAUGAAGAACAUCAAGAACAACUUUAACGAUCACCAAGAACACAACAAUUCCAACAAUCAAUUCCGACAACAACAAGGCCAACAAAUCACGGCCAAGUCCACCAAGAUGGCAACACAAUCGGCUAAGGCUUUAAGUUCACAACAACACUUCAACAAAUGCAAGCUCAAAUUUAGAUUUUGACUCAAGAGUGUUAGUGAUGAAGAAAACUAACACUAGAAACACCAAGAAAAAAAUGACUCCUAGAUCUAAUUUUCAAGUCUCGACCAAACACAACAAGAACACAACAACUUUCGGCCAAGAUCCAAACUCAAGAACACUACAUUUUGUUUUUCAAGCAAUCUAGCGCAAGAUUGAUCUUGUGGAAACAAAAUCAAGUCAUGCUCUGAUACCAAAUGAUACAAGAUCGACAAAGGAGACACAAAACAAACACCAAAACAGUCCACAAGUUGGAAGAACCGAGGACCCCUUUGGUGACCACUCUCAAACUCACUACAACAACAACGAAAACGCAAUAACAAUAAGAUAUUAAGGUGUUUAAUACCUCUAAAACCAGCGAGCCAACAAACUAGAUUAACAACACAAGAACAAGAACAAGAAGAACACAAAGUCUCGAUUUUAGGACACCAAACCCGAGAAUGAAUAACAACAACAAUGAAAUAGAUAAAUAGAUAGAUAGAUAGCUAAAUUGACAUACAAAUGUACAAACACUAUGAACCUAAGUGUAUAUUAAACACAAAGACACAAGAAUUCAUACAAGUAACACCAAGCUCUACGGUGACCUCAAGGGAACAAGAUUCCCAAGCAACCAACGUUUCAAAACUAGCACCGACACAAGUGAUAUCCACCCUUGUUUACAAGGAAUCCACCUUACAAGACUCUCUCUCUAGAGCUCUCAAAAUAUCAUCAAAGUUAUGACAAAAUGACCUAACAUGUUCUAUUUAUAGCCUAGGUUUCAAAAUAUAAAAUGACUAAAAUUCCCUUAAUGAGCCAUGGCAAAAGGGCAGCCUUAGAGUGUGCAUAUUGGAUGGCUUUGGAGUGUUGGGACUUGUUCUCUACACUUCAAAACUUGUUCCAUUGGUUGGGCAGCCACCCGAGCUCGAGUCUUUACGUAUUGGUCCACAAUCACAAUCGUACUUGUAUCAUAAUUUCUUUCGUGUGUUCUUUUGGUCUCCUAAUGAGGUAGUAUGCUGCAAUGACAUUUUUAUUCUAAAAUAAACUUAUUAAAAGCUAUGUUGUGCGGACUCUUCAAAAUAUCGACGGGUACAUGUCGUAUCCUUUAAAAGUAGUGCCUUUUUGGAGGAUCUAACAUGGAUGCAACACUCUUUUUGGAGAAUCCGAGCAACAUUCACAACCUUCUCUUUGAUGUGUAAUGGGGGUAAUCUUAUCGAUUCUAAAUUUCAUAUUAUUUUGGUCAAUUUCGUAGAGCAAAAUAAUUAUUUUGCCCUUGGUCGUUCCUAAUAUCAUCCUAGUUUCUUGUGUAAAUUACCAAAACUGAUUCCUAAUGCAUGUGGUGCGUACUGAGAUAGUUCUUAAUCUUUAUGUGGUUCUUAAGGUAUCCUCAAUCUGUAGUUUUCUUUAUCAAAUGGUCAUUGACCAAGCAGACUGCAUGGAUAGACUGCAAGGACAACACAGGAAAUUAAGAGAAACUAUCAAACAUUCUACAUAUUUUCUUAUGGUUAUAAGUUAAUCCUAUUUCUGGCAUUUAAAACUGCCCAAAUUUAACCAACAGUUAAUAGUAAAUGUCAAACAUUAAGGAUGUCAACAGAAAUGAAUAGCAAACAAUGUGGAUAAACAGUGAAUUAGAAGCCAUUAUAAUAUUAUAUUCUAGUAAAGAUAUCCUAGCACACAGGGAACUGAAGUUUAACAAACAUUGAUGGCAAGACACAUCCAGUAAUCCCAUAGAUUAUGACUACAUAAGGAUGGAUAAAUCUAGCCUUCUAUGCUAUAGAAAAAGAAACGGAACACUUAUGUGCAAUGAAGAAAUAUACCAUUUGAAGACAUGUAAGAUGUUUUGAAAAAUUUAGAAGUAUCACUCUCACUUCAAAGAUUAUAAGUGUUUCCAACUGAUCAGUCUCGACAAUCGUUACCAAACUGAGAUUGGGGACUCGCCGAUGUGGGAAAUGUGGAUAGAAGUUGUUCAUAUUUAGGCACUACUUCAGAAAUUGGCAAGCGCUAUACAAACAACAUGCCAAAAUGUAAUCAUUGUGUUGUUAAUCAAAUUAAACCCAUAACUCACCAGUAAGAAACAGUUACCAGAGCCUCAUUUGCAAGAGUUUAUGCAGCAACUUUGCUAGAAUUCAAAAAAUAAUACAAAAUUCUAUCAUAACAAAUACUACAAGACAUUUAAAAAUUACUUCUUGUUGUUAGGAAUUUCAUUUAUAAGUAAGAUUAAGUAGUUUUCAGAAAGCUUCUUUACCUGCAAGUUGUCAUCAAGACUUUGACCAUAUUUAGAUUCAAAUAAUCAUAUUACUAAAUAAAGACUAUUUGCCAUAACUUCAAAAACUUUCUGCCAGCCCAGCUAUAGGAUAAAGUUUUAAGAAACAUGCAAUUCUUGACGUUUUCAAACAUACUUCGAAAAUUAUUGUAUCAUCAUAAAUAGAUUAUAUACCACCACUACUCCGUAAGUGCUUUAACUUUUUUACAGUCCUUGUUUUUUAGUGAGAGCAGUAAAAUUUUAGAAAUGCAGCACGAAGCUUAUCUCCAUAUUGCGAGUGUCAUGUAAGGACAUUUACUGUAAAAGACAUACUAAGUUUAUGAUGGUAAAAGCAAACAUGAAGAUUUUGACAUGUUCUUCCACCUAUCUCUUUUUAUGAGAUACAAACACUUUAAACUAAAAAUAAGACUUCAAGUUUACCUCGUCCAAGUACUUUUGAAUAAAUUCUGAGAAACAACCCUUAUGAAGGUUGUGGUGGUAUGAUUUGCUACAGCCUUUAGAUACAUAGUUUUCCCAGUGUUUGAUAGACCAUAGAAUAAUACACCACAUGGAGGAUCUACAACAAUCUGCUUGUACAACUCAUGAUGAGUUAGAGGUAACGCAACACACUUUACAGAUUUUCUGCUUUUGUAUGUCGCAUCCUCAAAUAUAUUAGUAUUAGGAAAAAACAUAAGCUCAAAGAUUAAGAAAUAAAUAAGGUCUGUGAAAUGGUGAAUAAAUUGGAGGAAACGAUAACAAAAAGUUAUUGCAGGCCUAAGAACUCCCUUCACAAAGCUUGGAAGGUGAUCUCUUCAGGACAGUAAACUUCAAGUUAUACGAAGUGAAAUAAUAUGAUUUCUAUAUUCAAUUAAAAAAAAUGUAGAGAAAAAUGAUUACUACCCAGUUCACACACUGGAAAUAAACCAUACCCCUUAAGCAAUUUAUCCUAUAGGCUUUUACAAUUCUUCUGGGUAAGGAGAGGACAUACAAGGCUAAAUGGAGGAUAAUCAGCUAGUAUCCACCUCUUCAUAAAGAAGCAUUCCCCCGAGCCAACAGUGGCCUUAUCCUUUGCCCUAUUCGACAAUAAAAUAGGCAUAGAAUUUGAGCCAAUUUUUGCUAACUGAGGUGGUAUUGGCCCUGAAAGUUGAUUGUUUGCAUGAUUCAACCACAAUAAGCUGCUGCAAUUUCCCAACUCAGGUGGGAUGCUAUCUGUCAGUGAAUCGUUAGCAAGCAUCAACCACAAAAGUGAGGUUAGCUUCCCUAAACUUGGUGGUAUCUGGCCAAUUAACUUAUUAGAGGAAAGAUGAAGGGCCUGAAAUAUCGGAUUAUCCCCGUAUUCUGAGGGUAUACUUCCAUUAAACUGGUUGUAUGCAAGAAUCAAAAACUUCAAGCCUUUCAUCUUGGAAAGUUCAACUGGCAAUGGACCAGCGAAUUGAUUAUCGUUCAAGUUUAAUCGAGAAAGGUUCCCUAAGUUGGGAAUUCCAGAGGUAACUAUGCCUCCAGCAUAAGAGUUGCCAUGCGUCCAAUCGAGAAAGGUUCCCUAAGUUAGGAAUUUCAUGCAAUAUAAGAAACUUUACUAGUGUAAAUCGCCCAAAAAUUUCUUGUAUUUCUCCUCUGAAGUUGUUUCUACUAAGAUCAAGAAACAGCAAAUUUCUUAAACUUAAUAGAGCUUCUGGAAUGUCCCUUGAAAAUUGUUGCUUCCCAAGUAAAGUUCUUGAAGACUUAUAACUGAUCCAAUUUCCUUAGGAAUUGGCUCUGAAAAAUUGUUUGAAGAAAAAUUUAAGUCCUCCAGUACACUUGUUUUUAGAUAUCGAAAACUCCCUAAGUUUAUCAAAAUCAACUGACAACUCUCCGAGUCAAGUUUUUGUAGCUUAAAUCAAGGUAACCUGAGCUUCCUGCACUGAUCAAAGGUAUUUCCAAUCUCACCAGUGAAAUAAUUUGAAAAGAAUAAUAAAGCAACAAGAAUUAAAAUCUUAAUUUGUUAUAACUAAAAUUUUAAUCUUUUCUUUAACAGACAUGAAAUGCGACAACAAAAAUGGAAAAUUUGAAGAGAACUUGGAAAGACCGUUUAAAGAAAUAAAUAAAAGACGAAAGAUAAAAAUAGGAACAUACCUGAAUUUGAAACCCAUUGGAAGGACGGAGAGAAGUGAUAAUUUUCUGAAUGAGAAAGAGUGAUACAAAUGCUCUGUUCAAGCAAUGGAGAGUGUCCAGAGACUUCUAGGUUUAUUAUGCGGCAAAGAUAUUAUUUUGUGAAAUUACAUUUCUGACCUUGGCCGUCCUCCACCAGUGUUU
rnacentral:lncRNA from 1 species